ACCAUGCAAGUCGAACGAUGAUCUCCAGCUUGCUGGGGGGAUUAGUGGCGAACGGGUGAGUAACACGUGAGUAACCUGCCCUUGACUCUGGGAUAAGCCUGGGAAACUGGGUCUAAUACCGGAUACGACCGUCCCGCGCAUGCGGUGGUGGUGGAAAGCUUUUGCGGUUUUGGAUGGACUCGCGGCCUAUCAGCUUGUUGGUGGGGUAAUGGCCUACCAAGGCGACGACGGGUAGCCGGCCUGAGAGGGUGACCGGCCACACUGGGACUGAGACACGGCCCAGACUCCUACGGGAGGCAGCAGUGGGGAAUAUUGCACAAUGGGCGAAAGCCUGAUGCAGCGACGCCGCGUGAGGGAUGACGGCCUUCGGGUUGUAAACCUCUUUCAGUAGGGAAGAAGCGAAAGUGACGGUACCUGCAGAAGAAGCGCCGGCUAACUACGUGCCAGCAGCCGCGGUAAUACGUAGGGCGCAAGCGUUAUCCGGAAUUAUUGGGCGUAAAGAGCUCGUAGGCGGUUUGUCGCGUCUGCUGUGAAAGACCGGGGCUCAACUCCGGUUCUGCAGUGGGUACGGGCAGACUAGAGUGAUGUAGGGGAGACUGGAAUUCCUGGUGUAGCGGUGAAAUGCGCAGAUAUCAGGAGGAACACCGAUGGCGAAGGCAGGUCUCUGGGCAUUAACUGACGCUGAGGAGCGAAAGCAUGGGGAGCGAACAGGAUUAGAUACCCUGGUAGUCCAUGCCGUAAACGUUGGGCACUAGGUGUGGGGGACAUUCCACGUUUUCCGCGCCGUAGCUAACGCAUUAAGUGCCCCGCCUGGGGAGUACGGCCGCAAGGUA
rnacentral:rRNA from 1 species